AUCGGCUUGACGGAUAAAUGCGUUUCUCAUAAACUUCUGUUCAUUUAAAUUGAUGUAUUCAAAUUUAUUUACCACGGUAAACCACGGGACUUAAGUACAGAUUUGGAGAGGGAAGUCAGCAGAAUUCACAGUAGAAUGGAUUUAUACAAUGGAUGGAUUUCUUUGCAACAGUUUGUGCAACAGUUCAACCCAAAAAAGGAGAAGAAAAGGUUAUACGUUUGGAAAGACAUGAGAGUGAAUAUUUUCACUUUUUGAGCCAUCCAUGUUAAGACAGCUAUUAGUUUUGCAUCUUUAAGGCUUUUUUUGGCAUCAUCUGUGCUGAUUUUCAGAGAAAAGUCUGCAGAAUUCAGUGGAGUGGAUUUAUACAAUGGAUGGAUUUUUGUGCAUUUGAUUUAUACACCAUGUGUCUGUACAAUAAAAUUCAGUCCAGUGUUGUUUAAAAUGUCAUCUUUUAUGUUCAGCAGAAAAAAAAAGUGAU